UACAGAGGGUGCGAGCGUUAAUCGGAAUUACCGGGCGUAAAGGGCGCGUAGGCGGUAGAACAUGUGUGGUGUGAAAGCCCUGGGCUUAACCUAGGAAGUGCAUCGCAAACUGUUUUGCUAGAGUAUAUGAGAGGGUGGCGGAAUUUCCGGUGUAGCGGUGAAAUGCGUAGAGAUCGGAAGGAACGUCGAUGGCGAAGGCAGCCACCUGGCAUAAUACUGACGCUGAGGCGCGAAAGCGUGGGGAGCGAACAGG
rnacentral:rRNA from 1 species